rnacentral:rRNA from 1 species
AGAUUGAACGCUGGCGGCAUGCCUUACACAUGCAAGUCGAACGGCAGCACGGGAGCAAUCCUGGUGGCGAGUGGCGAACGGGUGAGUAAUACAUCGGAACGUGCCCAAUCGUGGGGGAUAACGCAGCGAAAGCUGUGCUAAUACCGCAUAAGAUCUACGGAUGAAAGCAGGGGAUCGCAAGACCUUGCGCGAAUGGAGCGGCCGAUGGCAGAUUAGGUAGUUGGUGAGGUAAAGGCUCACCAAGCCUUCGAUCUGUAGCUGGUCUGAGAGGACGACCAGCCACACUGGGACUGAGACACGGCCCAGACCUCCGUACGGGAGCAGCAGGUGGGGAAUUUU